rnacentral:rRNA from 1 species
GACAGAGGGUGCAAACGUUGUUCGGAAUUACUGGGCGUAAAGCGUGUGUAGGCGGCCCGCUAAGUCGGGUGUGAAAGCCCCGGGCUCAACCCGGGAAGUGCACUCGAAACUGGCGGGCUAGAGUAUCGGAGAGGUUGGUGGAAUUCUCGGUGUAGAGGUGAAAUUCGUAGAUAUCGAGAGGAACACCGGUGGCGAAGGCGGCCAACUGGACGAAUACUGACGCUGAGACACGAAAGCGUGGGGAGCAAACAGG